rnacentral:lncRNA from 1 species
UAGACCUUUCAGGUAACAAUUUGAACGGUCAAAUCAUAUCAUCACUCGGUAAUCUCACACAGCUCACCUAUUUAGUCAUCUUAGGUAACAAUUUGAACAGUCAAAUCACAUCAUCACUCGGUAAUCUCACACAGCUCACCUAUUUAGACCUCUCAGGUAACAAUUUGAUCGGUCAGAUCCCAUCAUCACUUGGUAAUCUCACACAGCUCACCUUUUUAGACCUCUCAAAUAACAAUUUGAGCGGUCAGAUCCCAUCAUCACUUGGAAACCUUGUACAACUUCGUUACUUGUGUCUCUCUUCCAAUAAAUUUAUGGGUCAAGUUCCAGAUUCUUUGGGUAGCCUAGUCAAUUUGAGUGGUCAGAUCAUAUCAUCACUUAGUAUUGUCACACAGCUCACCUUUUUAGACCUCUCACGUAACAAUUUGAGCGGUCAGAUCCCAUCAUCAUUUGGAAACCUUGUUCACCUUCGUUCCUUGUUUCUCGGUUCCAAUAAAUUUAUGGGUCAAGUUCCAGAUUCUUUAGGUAGCCUAGUCAAUCUUUCAGAUUUAGAUUUAUCCAAUAAUCAACUAGUAGGCUCUAUUCAUUCUCAAUUAAAUACCCUUUCAAAUCUACAAUCUCUAUAUUUAUCCAAUAACUUGUUCAAUGGAACAAUACCAUCCUCUUUUUUCGCUCUUCCUUCUUUACAAAAUCUUGAC